rnacentral:rRNA from 1 species
GACGAACGCUGGCGGCGUGCCUAAUACAUGCAAGUUGAGCGCUGAAGGUUGGUGCUUGUACCAACUGGAUGAGCAGCGAACGGGUGAGUAACGCGUGGGUCAUCUGCCUCUGAGCGGGGGAGAACAUUUGGAAACGAAUGCUAAUACUGCAUAAAACCUUUAAACACAAGUUUUAAGUUUGAAUGAUGCAAUUCCAUCACUCAAAGACGAACCGGCGUUGUAUUAGCUAGUUGGUGAGGUAAAGGCUCACCAAGGCGAGGUUACGUAGCCUGCCGGAGAGGAGAUCGAGCCAAUUGGGAAUGAGACACGGCCCAAACUCCUACGGGGGGCAGCAAUAGGGGAUCUUUGGCAAUGGGCGAAAGUCUUGCCGAAGAAAGCCGCGGGGGUGAAGAAGGUUUUCGGGUCGUAAAACUCUGUUGGUAGAGAAAGACAUUGAUGGGGGUAAAACGCUCAUCAUGUGACGGUAACUACAGAGUAAGGGACGGCUAACUACGUG